CCAAAUUUCCAGGUGUUCCCAUUCAUGAAUCAGGACAGAAUAGAGAAAACUCACCAUGGAGUUUGUGCUUGGCUGGGUUAUCCUUGUUACUCUUUUAAGAGGUGUCCAGUGUGAGGUGCAGCUGGUGGAGCCCGGUGGAGACCUGGUGGAGCCUGGGGGGAUCCCUGAGACUCUCUGUGCAGCCUCCAGAUUCACCUUAAGUAGCUACGUCAUGAACUGGGUCUGCCAGACUCCAGGGAAUGGGCUGCCGUGGGUCGCAGAUAUUAGCAAUCAUGGAAGUAGCACAAGCUACACAGACUUUGUGAAGGGCCGAUUCACCAUCCCCAGAGACAACGGCAAGAAUACGCUGUAUCUGCAGAUGAACAGCCUGAGAGCUGAGGACACAGCCGUGUAUUAUGUGUGAGAGACACAUGUGGCUAUUGU